rnacentral:lncRNA from 1 species
CUCUGCUCAUUUUACAGAAGGAGAUGGUGUCUGGAUCAGACCCUUGUUUCUGUUCUACCCUGCCUGCAGGAGGAGAGGUUAAGCAGUUUGCUCAAAGCCACAAAGCUGGGGGACAAAAGCGCACCCUUUUGGACUUCCUGACGUUCUUGCCUUGGAAACAGAGGCCAGCCACUAGGCCCACCCUCCUGCCCUUCCCGGAGCAAUGGUUCCGAAGAUGACCAGGCGGAUGACCAUGAGUAAACUUCCCAGCUGGCAAAGUCCUAGGGAUUGCUGAUCUGGUCAGCCCCAGCUCUGCAUGUAGACAUCUG